UACGGAGGGAGCUAGCGUUGUUCGGAAUACUGGGCGUAAAGCGCACGUAGGCGGCUUAGCAAGUCGGAUGUGAAAUCCCUCGGCUCAACCAAGGAAGUGCAUCCGAAACUGCUGAGCUUGAGUACGAAAGAGGAUCGCGGAAUUCCCGGUGUAGAGGUGAAAUUCGUAGAUAUCGGGAGGAACACCAGUGGCGAAGGCGGCGAUCUGGGUCGAUACUGACGCUGAGGUGCGAAAGCGUGGGGAGCAAACAGG
rnacentral:rRNA from 1 species